AGAAACGUCUGUUUUCAGAGAUAGGCAAGUUUGCACAGCAUCCCGACCGCGGACUCUGGGGGAGGAAAUGCUACUUGCUUACCCCAGAGGAACACACAACGGAAUCACGUUAGCGCUAUAGAAAAGUUAUGGAAAGAACUCCCCCAAAGAAGUUUUGACCUUCUUACAACCACCGGCUUUGCCAGAGCCACAGGGAACCCCACCCAGCCAAUAUGCCAAGUACGCAUCCGUGAAGCCGGUGAGUGCCUACCUUAUUCUCCAGGCGCCCUAGCCCCGGGCUGUCACUCCGCAGGCAGCAGGACAGCCGAGGGUAGAAGCCACCGCACAGCAUCUCUCCCCCACUCAGCAGCUCCAGCUGGGACAUCAUCCUCCUGUCUCUCCUUUUCAGGCGCUUCGGGGGGUUCCCAUUCAGGCACCUUCUCCUCCUUGCUCCGCUCCCUUCGUUUCUUUCCCCAAACUUAGCAUCUCCUUCAAAGAAGCCCAGAGCCACGGCCAGCAGCAGCAGCUUAAAGGAGAGCAUCUUCAGCAUCGUCUGCCCAGAGCAGCAGGGGCUGGGCGCGGGAGGAUGGGGGGGAACGCCACUGCCCAGCAGGGACAGAGGGAGGUGGCGGGGACAAAAAUAUGUACAGCGAUGCAACUUUGCAAAAAAUAAAAGACGCGGCGAUGGGUCCAAUGCCUUAGGGGAGCCCGAGGAGCGAGAUAAAGUUGUGCGGAUGACACCGUUUGCAGUUGUGCCAGUGUCAGUUGGGUUGGGGGCUUUCUGCUGCGGCUGGGAAGUGGGAGGAGGAGAAGGAGUUGGAAGAGGAGGAAGAAAAGGAGAGGACAGCCACAGAUGUUCACUUGUCCGUGUAACGGGAGUUGUUUAGGUGGGACAGUAGCAGGAACAGAAACGGCGACGGCGGCGGCGGGGCAGGCGGAGGCAGGGCCAGCGCUGGGCUCUAGAUGAUGCUGAGGUCUCCUCUGCCGG
rnacentral:lncRNA from 1 species